rnacentral:rRNA from 1 species
AUUUGAAGCAACGGAAAGAACCUUUCCAGGUCUUGACAUCCUCUGAAAACCCUAGAGAUAGGGCUUGUCCUUCGGGAGCAGAGUGACAGGUGGUGCAUGGUUGUCGUCAGCUCGUGUCGUGAGAUGUUGGGUUAAGUCCCGCAACGAGCGCAACCCUUGAUCUUAGUKGCCAUCAUUAAGUUGGGCACUCUAAGGUGACUGCCGGUGACAAACCGGAGGAAGGUGGGGAUGACGUCAAAUCAUCAUGCCCCUUAUGACCUGGGCUACACACGUGCUACAAUGGACGGUACAAAGAGCUGCAAGACCGCGAGGUGGAGCUAAUCUCAAAAACCGUUCUCAGUUCGGAUUGUAGGCUGCAACUCGCCGACAAGAAGUUUGGCGGGUUUGUGACAGACAGCCGA